GACGAAGGGGGCUAGCGUUGUUCGGAUUUACUGGGCGUAAAGGGCGCGUAGGCGGUCGUGACAAGUCACUUGUGAAAUCUCCGGGCUUAACUCGGAACGGUCAAGUGAUACUGUCGUGCUAGAGUACAGAAGGGGCAACUGGAAUUCUCGGUGUAGCGGUGAAAUGCGUAGAUAUCGAGAGGAACACCUGCGGCGAAGGCGGGUUGCUGGGCUGAUACUGACGCUGAGGCGCGAAAGCCAGGGGAGCGAACGGG
rnacentral:rRNA from 1 species